UUUUUUUUUCUUUCUCUCAGCUUCCUUUCCCCAGAGGACACCAUGUUUCAAGGAGGUUUGUGGCUGACAGCAACACUGUUGCUCUGAACUAUCAACCUGAGGGGUGGUGAGGACCUCCGAGGAUAACAAUGGCUAUCACUGCAACAUUGCUUGUUGCCCUUGAUGAUGAUGGCAAAAAUCCUGUGCUUCAGAAGGUCUCCAGUUGUCAGUAGACUCUUACUUUUUCAAAGCUUGGGCAUCAUCUGACAAAGAGAAGGAUUAUGAAGAACUGAGUCUGCUGGAGAUGUCAGUCUGACCUCUGAGAACUAUGGGAAUUACUAGGAAGAGACGUGUGGUCCUGCCAUCAGGAGACUAUUCUCCAUGAUCAUGGAAAGUGUGUG
rnacentral:lncRNA from 1 species